rnacentral:rRNA from 1 species
UACGAAGGGUGCAAACGUUGCUCGGAAUUACUGGGCGUAAAGCGUGCGCAGGCGGUUUUGUAAGACAGGCGUGAAAUCCCCGAGCUCAACUUGGGAAUUGCGCUUGUGACUGCAAGGCUUGAAUCUGGCAGAGGGGGGUAGAAUUCCACGUGUAGCAGUGAAAUGCGUAGAGAUGUGGAGGAACACCGAUGGCGAAGGCAGCCCCCUGGGUCAAGAUUGACGCUCAUGCACGAAAGCGUGGGGAGCAAACAGG